AACAAAAGACUGAUAUAUCCUCAU
rnacentral:snRNA from 1 species